UACGUAGGUGGCAAGCGUUGUCCGGAAUUAUUGGGCGUAAAGAGCUCGUAGGCGGUUUGUCGCGUCUGCCGUGAAAGUCCGGGGCUCAACUCCGGAUCUGCGGUGGGUACGGGCAGGCUAGAGUGAUGUAGGGGAGACUGGAAUUCCUGGUGUAGCGGUGAAAUGCGCAGAUAUCAGGAGGAACACCGAUGGCGAAGGCAGGUCUCUGGGCAUUAACUGACGCUGAGGAGCGAAAGCGUGGGGAGCAAACAGG
rnacentral:misc_RNA from 1 species